ensembl:snoRNA
CUUCCCAUUUAUUUGUUGCUAUCAUCUCUCGGUGAUAUGAGCAGUUAUACGCAUGGGAUACAGUAUUAUUGGGCCAUUGCCAGCUGAGAUGAAGUAACUGUGUCUUCUCUUCUGCGUGGCCUGGACACCG